rnacentral:rRNA from 1 species
GAUGAACGCUGGCGGCGUGCCUAAUACAUGCAAGUCGAGCGAACGGACGAGAAGCUUGCUUCUCUGAUGUUAGCGGCGGACGGGUGAGUAACACGUGGAUAACCUACCUAUAAGACUGGGAUAACUUCGGGAAACCGGAGCUGAUACCGGAUAAUAUUUUGAACCGCAUGGUUCAAAAGUGAAAGACGGUCUUGCUGUCACUUAUAGAUGGAUCCGCGCUGCAUUAGCUAGUUGGUAAGGUAACGGCUUACCAAGGCAACGAUGCAUAGCCGACCUGAGAGGGUGAUCGGCCACACCGGAACUGAGACACGGUCCAGACUCCUACGGGAGGCAGCAGUAGGGAAUCUUCCGCAAUGGGCGAAAGCCUGACGGAGCAACGCCGCGUGAGUGAUGAAGGUCUUCGGAUCGUAAAACUCUGUUAUUAGGGAAGAACAUAUGUGUAAGUAACUGUGCACAUCUUGACGGUACCUAAUCAGAAAGCCACGGCUAACUACGUG